AUCAGCGUGGGAUUCACGGCGAAAUGAGACUGUUCGUGAGUGAGGGCGUCCCGGGUUGCUUGCCGGUGCUGGCCGCCGCCGGGAGAGCCCGGGGCAGAGCAGAGGUGCUCAUCAGCACUGUAGGCCCGGAAGAUUGUGUGGUCCCGUUCCUGACCCGGCCUAAGGUCCCUGUCUUGCAGCUGGAUAGUGGCAACUACCUCUUCUCCACUAGUGCAAUCUGCCGAUAUUUUUUUUUGUUAUCUGGCUGGGAGCAAGAUGACCUCACUAACCAGUGGCUGGAAUGGGAAGCGACAGAGCUGCAGGUAGGACUAAGGUAUGGGGGAUGUCAGGCAGGCCCUUGUUCUGCGUGGCCAUCCUAACUCAUGUCCCCUGCAUUUUAGCCAGCUUUGUCUGCUGCCCUGUACUAUUUAGUGGUCCAAGGCAAGAAGGGGGAAGAUGUUCUUGGUUCAGUGCGGAGAGCCCUGACUCACAUUGACCACAGCUUGAGUCGUCAGAACUGUCCUUUCCUGGCUGGGGAGACAGAAUCUCUAGCCGACAUUGUUUUGUGGGGAGCCCUAUACCCAUUACUGCAAGAUCCCGCCUACCUCCCUGGUGAGAACUGUGCAUAUCACUCCAACCCUAGGAGCUUGGUGUAGGGGUUACAGAAUGGGCAG
rnacentral:sRNA from 1 species